ensembl:lncRNA
AUAGUAAUAGCACAAGAAAUAAGUUUAAGGGCUUUCAAUUUUUCAGCACUGUCACAGCCUUCUGAUACAGCACGGAAAAACGCAUGCCCUUGCUCUCCGCAUCAGUGACAAUAAUAACUGGUUCUUGUGCCUUGCCUGUACAAGAGUGCUGAAAACUCUUCCCACAAGGGGAUGACCAAUAAGCCAUAGUAUGCUCAGAACUGUGCCCGCAGAGCCCACCUCUCUGGAUGCUGCUGGACAACAUAGCUGUAACACAUGCAGGUGAUACAUGGAAGCUUGGAAGAUUAUCCAACAAUCUGCAAGAGAACUAGAGUGGGAUGGAUAGUGCUGAAGAAAAAAAAAAUAGAAAAAGGAAAGAGAGGACAUAACUGCAGGGUUCCUGUAUCUGGUAAGGAAUGCAUGUGUGAAACAGGGUCCAGUAGCUUUGGAUUUGAAGAGGAGAGUAUGCUAUGUAGCCAUGACCUGGAGCCUAUUUUAAGGUGAUGCCAACACCUGGAACAUACACUGGUUCCAAAAGGAGCUAACAUCCAUCUGACAAAGACAUUUACAACAGCAGGGAAAUUUGAGGCAGCAGAGACUGCAGUGGCUGUACUGGCAACAGGCCUCUUCAAACUUAUCAGGAAGUUCUUGUGGUCCUACAUCAAUCUUCACCUACUUUUACUCAUCUGUUCAUGAAAUAAUUUUUCCAUUUUUCCAAUGGCCUACCCAUCUGUCCAUCAGUCCAUCCAAUGCUCCUUGAAUUAAUAGAUCUGGACUGGCUGGAAAAUUUCUCAUGGCACAAUAUGUUGAUGAGGGAAUGAAAACUUGUCAGAACUUCUGUCCUCUGACACGAGGAAGAGGAAGGCCAUCUGAUGCUUCCUUCAGAACAAAAGUGGAUGUCCAGAAGAGCUGAACUUUGUACAGAUUUCUUCAUAGGAAAAAAAGCUGUCUUUUAUCCAGGCCCUGCUACUCAGCUUUCCAGUGCAGCAUGAGAUCUGCAGAGAAACUACCCGCCAUGAAGAACAAUUCAUGCACUGUUGAUUUUUCAGAAGAUGUCAGUAAACUACAUACUUUCCAGAGACACCCAAAGUAAAGAGUGUGCUGCUACCCCACCAGGGAAGGUAUUGCCAUUAAAUUGCAAAUUAAGUCCACAUGGAGUUUAGAUUCUUCCACAACCAACAAGCUGCCUGUUUUCCAAUGGAAACAGAUUUUCACCUCAUGAUGUUACUCCAGGAGCCUGAAGACAGUCUGAACCGCUGGGAUUAAGGCAUAGGAACUGUGAGUGGUUGGGGAUGACAAAGUUUGUGUAGAAAUUUGAAACCAGAGAAACUACUGCUUGUAGUUAAACAAAAGAAAUUCCAUAACAAAGAGAGAUGAUGGGAAAAAAAAAAAAAAAAAAAAAAAACCUGCCUGGAAAAUAUUCAGCAGUUCACAAUUUCUUAAAGGACUGAAAUCUAGUGUUGCCUUGACUAAAUCCUGCUGACAAAGGCAGUUUCUGCAGCAGCAUUCAGGAUCCUCCAGUGUUCUGUGAUUUAUUUUGCCUGGUUUUGUCCCCUCUCUUCAGUCUUCAGUUGCUUUGUACAGCUACAGAACAUCAAGAGGAAAGGUUCCAGUGUUUCCUACGUCUUUGCAAGUUGGGUCUUCUGAAUUCUUUUUAU